UAACUGGCUUGCAACAGCAGGUGGAAAAUAUAUAUCUGAUAUGGUACGAAACAUUUUGAAUGUUUUCAUGACUGAUGAGUUACAAAUGAAUUGUUGUCGUACUGGGAAACCCUCAAACAAAUAAAUUUUGUAAAUUUAUUGCAAUUGCUGUUCGAAGGCAUUGCAAAAAUGCUACAGACAAAGAUGUCAAUGAAGCCAUCACCGCUGCACUGCAUAACUCAGCAGAUCGUGGUGGUAGACGUAUGCAUCGAGAGAAGAAUGAAUAAAUAAAUUU